AGGGUUCGAUUCUGGCUCAGGAUGAACGCUGGCGGCGUGCCUAACACAUGCAAGUCGAACGAAGCAUACGGACUGGAGAUUCGUCGAAGGACCGUAUGACUUAGUGGCGGACGGGUGAGUAAUGUAUGAGCAACCUGCCUUUCAGAGGGGGACAACAGUUGGAAACGACUGCUAAUACCGCGUAACGUAUCGUGGGGGCAUCCUCGUGAUACCAAAGGAGCAAUCCGCUGAAAGAUGGGCUCAUAUCUGAUUAGCUUGUUGGCGGGGUAACGGCCCACCAAGGCGACGAUCAGUAGCCGGACUGAGAGGUUGAACGGCCACAUUGGGACUGAGAUACGGCCCAGACUCCUACGGGAGGCAGCAGUGGGGAAUAUUGGGCAAUGGGCGAAAGCCUCGACCCAGCAACGCCGCGUGAAGGAAGAAGGUCUUCGGAUUGUAAACUUCUUUUAUGAGGGACGAAGGACGUGACGGUACCUCAUGAAUAAGCCACGGCUAACUACGUGCCAGCCGCCGC
rnacentral:rRNA from 1 species